GAUGAACGCUGACAGAAUGCUUAACACAUGCAAGUCUUUGGCGAAGCUGUGCUUUCACAGCCUAGCCAGGGCGGACGGGUGAGUAACGCGUAAGGAACUUGCCCUGCAGUCAGGGAUAACAGACGGAAACGACUGAUAAGACCUGGUAAAGUCAGGCGGACUCAUGUCCAGCCUGAUGAAAAGUGAUGCUGCAGGAGAGCCUUGCGUCCUAUUAGCUUGUUGUUGGGGUAACGGCCCACCAAGGCGAUGAUAGGUAGCCGGCCUGAGAGGGUGGACGGCCACAAGGGGACUGAGAUACGGCCGUUACUCCUACGGGAGGCAGCAGUGGGGAAUAUUGGACAAUGGGGGCAACCCUGAUCCAGCAAUUCUGUGUGCACGAUGAAGGUUUUCGGAGUGUAAAGUGCUUUCAGCAGGGAAGAAAAAAAUGACGGUACCUGCAGAAGAAGCGACGGCUAAAUACGUG
rnacentral:rRNA from 1 species